UGAAUCUUCCUUGACUAGAAUUUUCUUGCCU
rnacentral:piRNA from 1 species